AUGUAUCUUCUUAACUGGAUUUUCCUUGCUGCUACUAUAAAAGGUGUCCAGUGUGAGGUGAAACUAGUGGAGUCUGGGGGGUCUCUGAGACUCUCCUGUGCAGCCUCUGUGUUCCCCUUGAGUAGCUAUAACAUGAACUUGUUUCGCCAAGCUCCAGGAAAGGGCCUGCAGUGGGUAUCACAUAUUACUGCUGAUGGUAACAAAUACUACGCAGGCUCCAUGAAGGAGAUUCACCAUCUCCAGAGAUAAUACCAAGAACUUGCUGUAUCUACAGAUGAACAAUCUGAGAACUGAGGACACAGCCAUGUAUUACUGUGCAAGGAAGUCGGUGUGAACUCAGAGAGAAAGCUCUCUGUGA